rnacentral:rRNA from 1 species
GACUCCAUGAAGCUGGAUUCGCUAGUAAUCGCGCAUCAGCCACGGCGCGGUGAAUACGUUCCCGGGCCUUGUACACACCGCCCGUCAAGCCAUGGAAGCCGGGAGUGCCUGAAGUGCGUGACCGCAAGGAGCGUCCUAAGGCAAUACCGGUGACUGGGGCUAAGUCGUAACAAGGUACC